AUCCAGCUGACGAAUCUCAAACAGGACGAAAUGCGCGUCCUGGAU
rfam:Schistosoma mansoni strain Puerto Rico chromosome W, complete genome